rnacentral:rRNA from 1 species
CCUACGGGUGGCUGCAGUGGGGAAUAUUGGACAAUGGGCGAAAGCCUGAUCCAGCCAUGCCGCGUGUGUGAAGAAGGCCUUCGGGUUGUAAAGCACUUUCAGUGGGGAAGAAAGCCUUGGGGCUAAUACCCUCGAGGAAGGACAUCACCCACAGAAGAAGCACCGGCUAACUCCGUGCCAGCAGCCGCGGUAAUACGGAGGGUGCGAGCGUUAAUCGGAAUUACUGGGCGUAAAGCGCGCGUAGGCGGUCUGAUAAGCCGGUUGUGAAAGCCCCGGGCUCAACCUGGGAACGGCAUCCGGAACUGUCAGGCUAGAGUGCAGGAGAGGAAGGUAGAAUUCCCUGUGUAGCGGUGAAAUGCGUAGAGAUCGGGAGGAAUACCAGUGGCGAAGGCGGCCUUCUGGACUGACACUGACGCUGAGGUGCGAAAGCGUGGGUAGCAAACAGGAUUAGAUACCCCUGUAGUC